rnacentral:rRNA from 1 species
GACGAACGCUGGCGGCGUGGAUUAGGCAUGCAAGUCGGACGGUAGGGCUUUAUCGUAAGAUAGAGUUUGAGAGUGGCGAACGGGUGAGUAACACGUAGGAAUCUACCCUUAAGACGGGGACAACCCAGGGAAACUUGGGCUAAUACCGGAUGAGAGUGCGAGAGAUUGCAUUUAAAAGGAUGGCGAAAGUUGUCGCUUAGGGAUGAGCCUGCGGUCUAUUAGUUAGUUGGUGAGGUAAGAGCUCACCAAGGCGAUGAUAGAUAGGCGGCCUUAACGGGUGGUCGCCCACACUGGGAUUGAGAUACGGCCCAGACCUCCUACGGGAGGCAGCAGUCGAGAAUAGUCUACAAUGGACGGAAGUCUGAUAGUGCGACGCCGCGUGAACGAAGAAUCCCUUCGGGGUGUAAAGUUCUUUUAUACGUGAGCAGUGUCCUUUAUAUUAAUAGUAUAAGGGGAGAGAUAUUAGCGUAUGAAUAAGCAACGGCUAACUCCGUGCCAGCAGCCGCGGUAAACACG